AAACCGACGUUUAAAAUGGCGACCGAUAAGUCAUCGAAUGAUAACUAAUCGACAAUUUAUGUGGCAUUCAGCAGAAAAUCACUAAGCGAUUAGUCAUCGAUUGAGUCUGCUGAAUGCACCCACUAUCUACUUACCCCAGUAUUACAGCCAGGUAAUGAUCAAGAAAAUAAGAUAUUUUUACCAUAGUACUCAUGUGAGAACAAGAAAUGUAGAAAAGCUAUUUGGAACCUGUAAAAGAGAGUUUCCUUUCUUCAACAAGGUCUACAAAUCAAAUUAUAUACAUGUCUUGCAAUAAUAUGUGCUACAGCAGUACCUUACAAUCUAGGUAAAUAAUGAUCUGGUGGUAAAUAGACAUGUUAAUGAUGUGGAACAAUCUCUAAAUUUUUGGUGACAUUUUUUUCAACAAUAUUUUGCAUGAGAAUACAUUAUUGAAUACCUACUCUUAUUGUGUUUGAUUUUUUUGUCUAUUAUUUCUCAAAAUGUUAUCAUGAUCAUUGUUCGACAACCCUUUUUGUUCGAGUUUUGGUCUCUUGAGGAAUACAGCUCCAUUCCAAUCUAUUUCAGGAUUUGUUCUUGCAAUUUUUUAUUUUUAAAAUAUCAAUGUCUUAUUCUAUUUGUUCCUUAUAUCUAAUCUAAUGUCUUUCUCUCGUUAUAUGUCCAGCUGACAUUUGUGUGUUUAUUUUGGAAAGUAUUUCAUAUGCUUCCAUCCUUCCUCUUAGACUGUGGUCCUAUUUUGAUGAAAGUAUAUGGAUCGUGGUAUGCCCUGUAUAGUUCAAAAUUAUAUCUUCUCUGGUCUUCAUAUUUUAGAUGCUAUUUAGACUGAUUCUAGUGCUUUAUCGUUGUUUCCAGUGCUUUAUCAACUUAUCAUCAUUUAUUUUACCUACCUGUCUACUGCUACUCUACUAUUGUACUUUGACCAUAUAUUUUUGGAAUAUAAAUAUAUAGUAACCUUCUGUCUUUCUCUUGUUCAACUGGAAUUUGUUUAUUUAUUCUGAGAAUACAUUAUUGAAUCUGUAUUAUGUUAGAUAUAUUAUUUUUUAUUUUAUUUCUUAAUAUGUAUUUUUUAUAUUUUAUUUUAAAAUAAAUGAGUAUGAGUUUCCCUCUUCUUAAAUAA